GACGAACGCUGGCGGCGCGCCUAACACAUGCAAGUCGAACGAGAGAUGAGGAGCUUGCUCUUCAAAUCGAGUGGCGAACGGGUGAGUAACGCGUGAGGAACCUGCCUCAAAGAGGGGGACAACAGUUGGAAACGACUGCUAAUACCGCAUAAGCCCACGGCUCGGCAUCGAGCAGAGGGAAAAGGAGCAAUCCGCUUUGAGAUGGCCUCGCGUCCGAUUAGCUGGUUGGUGAGGUAACGGCCCACCAAGGCGACGAUCGGUAGCCGGACUGAGAGGUUGAACGGCCACAUUGGGACUGAGACACGGCCCAGACUCCUACGGGAGGCAGCAGUGGGGAAUAUUGCACAAUGGGGGGAAACCCUGAUGCAGCAACGCCGCGUGAGUGAUGACGGCCUCGGUUGUAAAGCUCUGUCUUCAGGACGAGUAAUGACGGUACCUGAGGAGGAAGGCCACGGCGUAACUACGUGCCAGCAGCCG
rnacentral:rRNA from 1 species